rnacentral:lncRNA from 12 species
AUGAACCGCCGCCAGUGUUUUCACCCUUCUCAUCUGCUGUACUCGCAGCAGAUCCAACACGGAAGACACCACAAGCAAGAAACCUCACAGCACGAACAGAGACACAAACUGACAAAUACACAGAUAAGUGUGUGUUGUGUGUUUUGCUCUGAUUCGUCCAAACGGCCCUUCAUUGAUGUACAGAUGAUUGACAUCACCUAUAAAAUCCUGAAGAGCCUGUUUACGCCUGCAGCUGGUCUCCUCCAUACCUGCAUGCACACACCAGACACACACAUCACACUUGCACACAGUGUGUUUCCUCACAGCUGAGGAGUGUGUGUUUUAGCAUGACCGGCGACGAUGAAAGUUGAGUUGUCUGAGGAUGUCCAUCAGCUGACUGAUGACUCUGUCCACCCCCUGCAGAGCCAAGAUCAGCUGCACACACACACAGAUGUCAGCAGAUGUUUUGAAGUUGAAUGUAUUUUUUCAAUAUAAAUCAGCAUUUUAAAGCUGUUUGUGACAUUAGAUCAACAUCAUCUGAUGCUUCUGGAAUUUAUAUGUCACCAGAGAUAGGAAGUGAUAAGAAGCGUGUGAGAGAAAGAUCAUCAGCACACACCAGUGAGUGUGUGUCACCCACUUGUGAUUUCUGAUAAACUGCUGAGUGUGUGUGUGUGUUCUCACGCCUCUGCUGACAGGUCCAUAACUGUGUCCUGAACUAUCCGGCUCUUCUAAGUAGAUUGUGAAGAAACACACAGACAUGUCUGAUUGAUGGACAUCCAGUGAACCUUGUUUUGCCUUUGAAUGAAGUUUAUUGUUCUGACCCCCCAUGGACGGAUUUUUUUUUCAUUUUGAUCAGUUUCAGAAAAUAAGAAUUAAUCUUCUGUUAUUUAAAUGUAUCGUUUUAAGAAUGUUUAAAUCUUUGUUCAGGAAAGGACACGAAAUACAGAAAUCUAAGUAAGAUUUUUUUUUUUUUUUGUAUUGAAUGUUAACAGGUUGUGAAAAAAACAUUUAAGAUGCUCCAGCUGUGAAAACUCCCUAAACACAGAGCGCUACAGAUCCUGC